UCUUUUUUUUGACAACUUCGUGUUGCUGCGAAUCCCUAACGUUUUUUACAUUUUGGGGCCCCACGGUGGUUAAAUAAAUCGAUUAUUAUUCGCGAAGCCUCCGAUUCGAUGUGAUACGAAAUUCUCCACCUUCGCAAUGAUCAUUUUGCAAUUAGACGAGCAACCGAUGCUCAUUCAAGCCGUUUUCGCCGGCGAAAUAGACACGGUUAGGAAGCUGUUCGAAUCAAAAAGAUCAAACUGGGCAAUUAAAAUACAUUAAUAAACAAUUUGAAGAGUAUAAAAAGAUGUAUAACGAAGAAAAAUUGUGUCGCUUAAGAUCGGAUCUUUUUAAAUCUAAAGAUAGACUCGAAGAGUUAGAAAAACAGAACGGAGAGUAAAUACCCUUUUAA
rnacentral:lncRNA from 1 species